CAGUCGCCACGGGAAUACGUAGGGGGCAAGCGUUGUCCGGAAUUAUUGGGCGUAAAGCGCGCGCAGGCGGUCAUUUAAGUCUGGUGUUUAAUCCCGGGGCUCAACCCCGGAUCGCACUGGAAACUGGGUGACUUGAGUGCAGAAGAGGAGAGUGGAAUUCCACGUGUAGCGGUGAAAUGCGUAGAUAUGUGGAGGAACACCAGUGGCGAAGGCGACUCUCUGGGCUGUAACUGACGCUGAGGCGCGAAAGCGUGGGGAGCAAACAGGAUUAGAUACCCCUGUAGUCCCUGUCUCUUAUACA
rnacentral:rRNA from 1 species